UAAUACGGAGGGUCCAAGCGUUAUCCGGAUUUAUUGGGUUUAAAGGGUGCGCAGGCGGACCUGUUAGUCAGUGGUGAAAUCCCGGGGCUCAACCCCGGAACUGCCAUUGAUACUGCAGGACUUGAAUACGGUUGAGGUAGGCGGAAUGUAGCAUGUAGCGGUGAAAUGCAUAGAUAUGCUACAGAACACCGAUCGCGAAGGCAGCUUACCAAGCCGAUAUUGACGCUCAGGCACGAAAGCGUGGGUAGCGAACAGGAUUAGAUACCCUGGUAGUCCACGCCGUAAACGAUGAUUACUCGUUGUUGGCAGUACACAGUCAGUGACCAAGCGAAAGCGAUAAGUGAUCCACCUGGGGAGUACGUUCGCAAGAAUG
rnacentral:rRNA from 1 species